rnacentral:rRNA from 1 species
GACGAACGCUGGCGGCGUGCCUAACACAUGCAAGUCAACUUGACUGAAGGAGCAAUCUGACAGUAGAGUGGCGCAAGGGUGCGUAACGCGUAAGUAACUUGCCCAAGGUAAGGAAUAACGUCGAGAAAUCGGCGCUAAUACCUCAUAAUGCAGCGGAUCCGCAUGGAUAUGUUGUUAAAGGUUUACCGCCUUGGGAUAGGCUUGCGUCUGAUUAGCUAGUUGGUGUGGUAACGGCACACCAAGGCUACGAUCAGUAACUGGUCUGAGAGGAUGAUCAGUCACACUGGAACUGAGACACGGUCCAGACUCCUACGGGAGGCAGCAGUGAGGAAUAUUGGACAAUGCUCGAAAGAGUGACCCAGCAACGCCGCGUGGAGGAUGAAGGUAUUCUAUAUCGUAAACUCCUGUGAGAGCAGACGAAAGACAGAUUAUAAUCUGGAUGACUGUAUGCUC